AACGAACGCUGGCGGCAUGCCUAACACAUGCAAGUCGAACGAGACCUUCGGGUCUAGUGGCGCACGGGUGCGUAACGCGUGGGAACCUGCCUUUAGGUUCGGAAUAACUCAGAGAAAUUUGAGCUAAUACCGGAUAAUGUCUUCGGACCAAAGAUUUAUCGCCUUUAGAUGGGCCCGCGUUGGAUUAGCUAGUUGGUGGGUAAAGGCCUACCAAGGCGACGAUCCAUAGCUGGUCUGAGAGGAUGAUCAGCCACACUGGGACUGAGACACGGCCCAGACUCCUACGGGAGGCAGCAGUGGGGAAUAUUGGACAAUGGGCGAAAGCCUGAUCCAGCAAUGCCGCGUGAGUGAUGAAGGCCUUAGGGUUGUAAAGCUCUUUUACCCGAGAUGAUAAUGACAGUAUCGGGAGAAUAAGCUCCGGCUAACUCCGUGCCAGCAGCCGCGGUAAU
rnacentral:rRNA from 1 species